rnacentral:rRNA from 1 species
UACGGGGGGUGCAAGCGUUGCUCGGAAUUAUUGGGCGUAAAGGGUAGGUAGGUGGUCUCAUUUGUCUGGGGUGAAAUCCUUGAGCUUAACUCAAGAAGUGCCCCAGAAACGGUGAGACUUGAGUACUGGAGAGGGUCGUGGAAUUCCCGGUGUAGCGGUGAAAUGCGUAGAGAUCGGGAGGAACACCAGCGGCGAAGGCGGCGACCUGGACAGUAACUGACACUCAACUACGAAAGCGUGGGGAGCAAACAGG